rnacentral:rRNA from 1 species
UACAUGGGGUGCAAACGUUGCUCGGAAUUAUUGGGCGUAAGGCGCGCGUAGGCGGUUACUCAAGUCGGAUGUGAAAGCCCUCGGCUUAACUGAGGAAGUGCACCCGAAACUGAGUAGCUAGAGUACUAAAGAGGGUCGCGGAAUUCCCGGUGUAGAGGUGAAAUUCGUAGAUAUCGGGAGGAACACCGGUGGCGAAGGCGGCGACCUGGGUAGAUACUGACGCUGAGGCGCGAAAGCGUGGGGAGCAAACAGG